UGAGGAAUAUUCCACAAUGGGCGAAAGCCUGAUGGAGCGACGCCGCGUGAGGGACGAAGCCCUUUGGGGUGUAAACCUCUUUUAGAGAGGAUGAUACGGCGGGGUAACCCGUCUAAGACAGUACUCUCUGAAUAAGCCUCGGCUAACUACGUGCCAGCAGCCGCGGUAAUACGUAGGAGGCGAGCGUUGUCCGGAUUUACUGGGCGUAAAGCGCGCGCAGGCGGCAGUGCAAGUAAGGUGUGAAAUCUCCCUGCUCAACGGGGAGGGUGCACUUUAGACUGCACAGCUCGAGGUCGGUAGAGGGGGGUGGAAUUGCUGGUGUAGCGGUGAAAUGCGUAGAGAUCAGCAGGAACACCCGUGGCGAAGGCGGCCCCCUGGGCCGUACCUGACGCUGAGGCGCGAAGGCUAGGGGAGCGAACGGGAUUAGAUACCCCGGUAGUCCUAGCAGUAAACGAUGGCCACUAGGUGUGGGGGGUGUUGACCCCUUCCGUGCCGAAGCUAACGCAUUAAGUGGCCCGCCUGGGGAGUACGGUCGCAAGACUAA
rnacentral:rRNA from 1 species